GAUGGUUCUUACUACUGGAUACCUGUAGUAAUUCUAGAGCUAAUACAUGUUUACCGAGCGACUCACGAAGUUCAGUAUUUAUUAGAUUAAACCCAGCCGCUUUUGCACAACUGGUGAAUCAUGAUAACUUAUCGGAUCGUCGACAGCAAGUCAGCGACGUGUCAUUCAAAUUUCUGCCCUAUCAUGCUUACGAUGGUAGGAUAUAGGCCUACCAUGGCGGUGACGGGUAACGGAGAAUUAGGGUUCGAUUCCGGAGAGGGAGCCUGAGAAACGGCUACCACUUCCAAGGAAGGCAGCAGGCGCGCAAAUUACCCAAUCCGGAUUCCGGGAGGUAGUGACAAGAAAUAACAAUAGUUCGGCUUUUGUCAAACUAAUUGGAAUGAGUACAAUUUAAACCUCUUAACGAGAAACAAUUGGAGGGCAAGUCUGGUGCCAGCAGCCGCGGUAAUUCCAGCUCCAAUAGCGUAUACUAAAGUUGUUGCAGUUAAAAAGCUCGUAGUUGGAUUUCUGUGUGAGAGGGACGGGAAGGCGCAAGCGUUUUUUCUGACCUUUUGCACAUCCUGUCGCAAAUCACGGUGCUCUUUACUGUAGUGUCGUUGAGGAUCGACUCGUUUACUUUGAGAAAAAUAGAGUGUUCAAAGCAGGGUAUGCCUCUGAAUAAGUUAGCAUGGAAUAAUGAUAAAGGACUUCGGUUCAUUUUGUUGGUGUUUGGGACUGAAGUAAUGAUUGAUAGGGACAGUUGGGGGCAUCAGUAUUCAAAAGCGAGAGGUGAAAUUCUUAGACCUUUGAAGACUAACCGCUGCGAAAGCGUUUGCCAAGGAUGUUCCCUUUGAUCAAGAAUUAAAGUUUGGGGAUCGAAGACGAUCAGAUACCGUCGUAGUCUGAACUAUAAACUAUACCAGCUAGGGAUCGGCCGGCGUAAUAUUUAAGGACUCGGUCGGCACCUUAUGAGAAAUUAAAGCAUUUGGGUUCCGGGGGGAGUAUGAUCGCAAGGCUGAAACUUAAAGGAAUUGACGGAAGGGCACCACCAGGUGUGGAGCCUGUGGCUUAAUUUGACUCAACACGGGAAAACUUACCAGGUCCAGACAUAGUAAGGAUUGACAGAUGAGAGCUCUUUCUUGAUUCUAUGGGUGGUGGUGCAUGGCCGUUCUUAGUUGGUGGAGUGAUUUGUCUGGUUAAUUCCGUUAACGAACGAGACCCCAGCCUGCUAAAUAGCUGACGUAAGGUUUUCCUUGCGAUGAGCUUCUUAGAGGGACCAUAGACUCGUCUACAGACUAGGGAAGUUUGAGGCAAUAACAGGUCUGUGAUGCCCUUAGAUGUUCUGGGCCGCACACGGGCUACACUGACGCCUGCAACGAGCAUAUCAGCUGAUCCGAAAGGAUCUUUGGCUAAUCUUUUGAACUUGCGUCGUGCUAGGGAUUGACUAUUGCAAUUGUUAGUCAUGCAACGAGGAAUACCUUGUAAACGCGAGUCAUCAACUCGCAUUGAAUACGUCCCUGCCCUUUGUACACACCGCCCGUCGCUUCUACCGAUUGAAUAUUCCCAUGAAAUCUUCGGAGGAGUCCGAUGAGUUGGGCUUGCCCAAGGAAUCGGCUUCCAAAGUCGUUUAAAUCGGAACAUUUAGAGGAAGGAGAAGUCGUAACAAGGUUUCCGUAGGUGAACCUGCGGAAGGAUCAAUGACACAAGCGCACAAGCGCCCACAACUUUACCCCGUGUAUGGUAUCCCCGGGGCGUUUUUUAACCGAAACCUCCGGGGCUCGAAGACCCUUUUUUUUUACCCCCCACGCAACCAACCUACCGCGAGUUGACUGACGGAAGCGGUCCUGCCCCUCUCGGGGGAACGGGCCCUACCACCAAAACAACUUAUAUUUUUUUCAAACCUGAGGAAAAUAUCUUUCAACGAUGGAUCUCUUGGUUCCCGCAACGAUGAAGAACGCCGCGAAACGCGAUAUGUAAUAUGAAUUGCAGGAUUAAGCGAAUCAUCAAAUCUUUGAACGCAAAUUGCGCUUGGCCCUCGUGGCUGAGUAUACCUGGUUCAGCUUCGUUUUGCACUAGCAACCCGCCAUGCAAUGGCCCGGGUGAUGUGGAGGAGAGUUGGGCGUUGUGCCGCUUCCCGCGGCCCAUCGCUUUGAGUUCCUAUUCMUAGGGGCUGUCGCGUCGUCCGGUCUUUGACUGUCCGAUGCGCCAAGGUAAUUUCUACUGCGGCGCGCACAAGUUGGACCUUCUAGCCAGGCCCGCUGACGGCUUUUAACCUUUUUGGUAAACUUUUUAGCUUGAACUGAACUCAGGGAAGAAGACCCGCUGAAUUUAAACAUAUUACUAAGCGGAGGAAAAGAAACUAACCAGGAUUCCCCCUAGUAACGGCGAGUGAAGUGGGACCAGCUCAAUAUGUAAAGCUGCCGCCUUUGGCGGUCGCAUUGUAACCUUGCACUGGUUCAAUUCGAGGAAGACGGGUGCAAUUCGUCGUUGAGAUAGCGAAUCGCAGAGGGUAACAAUCCCGUGCUGUCCGAUCCUUCCUCAAGAAGGGAACCGUGCCGUGAGUCGUGUUGCUUGGGACUGCAGCGCUAAUCGGGAGGUAAUGUCCUUCUAAGGCUAAAUAUUUGCGGGAGACCGAUAACGAACAAGUACCGUGAGGGAAAGAUGAAAAGAACUUUGGAAAGAAAGUGAAAGAGUACGUGAAAUUGUUGGAAGCAAGCGAAUCAGUCUGACCCGGCGUUGGGGAUUUUUCUCCGCGCCGACGCAGAAUCGUCUCGGGCCCCGCCAAUCGGCAUGCCACUGGUUUCGGCCACGGCGUCUGUCGGGCGGGCCCUGGGUUGAGGAACGCGCCGCGACUUGUACCAUUCGGUGCCUCGUGGCCAUGAUUCUGCCAAAUGGACUGAUCCGACCCGUCUUGAAACACGGACCAAGGAGUCUGCCAUGUAUGCAAGUAUUAGGGUGAAAAACCCCGAUGCGAAGAGAAAUCGAGAUUGUCUGAUCCCUUCUGGGGAGCACGACAGGCAGAGCGUUGUAAUUUCUGUUCAGUGCCUAGCAGGAGCAUUCAUGCCGGGACCCGAAAGAUGGUGAACUAUGCUUAUGCAGGGUGAAUUCGGGGGAAACCCCGAUGGAAGCUCGAAGCGAUACUGACGUGCAAAUCGUUCGUCUGACAUGAGUAUAGGGGCGAAAGACUAAUCGAACCAUCUAGUAGCUGGUUCCCUCCGAAGUUUCCCCCAGGAUAGCUGGAAUUCACUGUGAGUUUUAUCAGGUAAAGCGAAUGAUUAGAGGUAUUGGGUCAGAAACUGACACGUCCUAUUCUCAAACUUUAAAUGGGUAAGAGGCAAGGGUUGCUUAAUUGAACUUUUGCGUUGAAUCAGGGUUCUUAGUGGGCCAUUUUUGGUAAGCAGAACUGGCGAUGUGGGAUGCACCAGACGCUUGGUUAAGGGACCUAAGUACUCGCUCAUUCAGAUACCACAAAGGGUGUUGAUUCAUUCAGACAGCAGGACGGUGGUCAUGGAAGUCGAAAUUCGCUAAGGAGUGUGUAACAACUCACCUGCCGAAUGAAUUAGCCCCGAAAAUGGAUGGCGCUCAAGCGAGUCCCCGAAAACGGGCCAUCAGGGUAGAUGCGAAGCCUUGAUGAGUAGGAGGGCGCAGCGGUUGCAGCGAAGGCGCGGGCGCGAGCCCCGCUUUGAGCGGCCGUUGGUGCAGAUCUUGGUGUUAGUAGCAAAUAUUCAAAUGAAA
rnacentral:rRNA from 1 species